rnacentral:rRNA from 1 species
CCUACGGGAGGCAGCAGUGGGGAAUUUUGGACAAUGGGCGCAAGCCUGAUCCAGCCAUGCCGCGUGCAGGAUGAAGGCCUUCGGGUUGUAAACUGCUUUUGUACGGAACGAAAAGGUGCCUUCUAAUAAAGGGCGCUCAUGACGGUACCGUAAGAAUAAGCACCGGCUAACUACGUGCCAGCAGCCGCGGUAAUACGUAGGGUGCGAGCGUUAAUCGGAAUUACUGGGCGUAAAGGGUGCGUAGGCGGUUAUUUAAGUCUGCCGUGAAAUCCCCGGGCUCAACCUGGGAAUGGCGGUGGAUACUGGAUAGCUAGAGUGUGUCAGAGGAUGGUGGAAUUCCCGGUGUAGCGGUGAAAUGCGUAGAGAUCGGGAGGAACAUCAGUGGCGAAGGCGGCCAUCUGGGACAACACUGACGCUGAAGCACGAAAGCGUGGGGAGCAAACAGGAUUAGAUACCCUGGUAGUCCACGCCCUAAACGAUGCGAACUGGAUGUUGGUCUCAACUCGGAGAUCAGUGUCGAAGCUAACGCGUUAAGUUCGCCGCCUGGGGAGUACGGUCGCAAGACUGAAACUCAAAGGAAUUGACGG